UACGGGAGGCAGCAGUGGGGAAUAUUGCACAAUGGGCGCAAGCCUGAUGCAGCCAUGCCGCGUGUAUGAAGAAGGCCUUCGGGUUGUAAAGUACUUUCAGUCGUGAGGAAGGUGUUAAGGUUAAUAACCUUAGCAAUUGACGUUAGCGACAGAAGAAGCACCGGCUAACUCCGUGCCAGCAGCCGCGGUAAUACGGAGGGUGCGAGCGUUAAUCGGAAUUACUGGGCGUAAAGGGCACGCAGGCGGUUAAUUAAGUUGGAUGUGAAAUCCCCGGGCUUAACCUGGGAAUGGCAUUCAAGACUGGUUAGCUAGAGUCUUGUAGAGGGGGUAGAAUUCCAUGUGUAGCGGUGAAAUGUGUAGAGAUGUGGAGGAAUACCGGUGGCGAAGGCGGCCCCUGGACAAAGACUGACGCUCAUGUGCGAAAGCGUGGGGAGCGAAACAGGAUUAGAUACC
rnacentral:rRNA from 1 species